UACGUAGGGACCAAGCGUUGUUCGGAUUUACUGGGCGUAAAGGGCGCGUAGGCGGUGCGGUAAGUCACUUGUGAAAUCUCUGAGCUUAACUCAGAACGGCCAAGUGAUACUGCAGUACUAGAGUGCGGAAGGGGCAAUCGGAAUUCUUGGUGUAGCGGUGAAAUGCGUAGAUAUCAAGAGGAACACCUGAGGUGAAGACGGGUUGCUGGGCCGACACUGACGCUGAUGCGCGAAAGCGUGGGGAGCGAACAGG
rnacentral:rRNA from 1 species